AGGAUGAACGCUAGCGGCAGGCUUAACACAUGCAAGUCGAGGGGCAGCAGGGGUAGCAAUACCCGCUGGCGACCGGCAAACGGGUGCGGAACACGUACGCAAUUUACCUCUGUCUGGGGCAUAGCCCGGAGAAAUCCGGAUUAACACCCAUAAUAUAUUUAAGUGGCAUCACUUUGGAUAUUAAAACUCCGGUGGACAGAGAUGAGCGUGCGUCCAUUAGCUAGUUGGUAGGUAACGGCCUACCAAGGCGACGAUGGUAGCUGGUGUGAGAGCACGACCAGCCACGACGGGCA
rnacentral:rRNA from 1 species